GUUGUAUGGUUAAGUGACUAAGCGUACACGGUGGAUGCCUUGGCAGUUGGAGGCGAUGAAGGACGUACUAACUUGCGAUAAGCUAAGUCAAGCCAGUAAGAGGCACUUGAGACUUAGAUUUCCGAAUGGGGAAACCCACCGCUUAGCGGUAUCUUACAGUGAAUACAUAGCUGUAAGAGGCAAACCGGGAGAACUGAAACAUCUAAGUACCCCGAGGAAAAGAAAUCAACCGAGAUUCCGAAAGUAGCGGCGAGCGAAAUCGGAUUAGCCCUUAAGCUUCAGUGUAAUUAGUGGAACCUUCUGGAAAGUUGGACGACACAGGGUGACAGUCCCGUACACGAAAAUUUAUCUGAAGUGAAAUCGAGUAGGUCGGAGCACGUGAAACUUUGACUGAAUAUGGGGGGACCAUCCUCCAAGGCUAAAUACUCCCAACUGACCGAUAGUGAACCAGUACCGUGAGGGAAAGGCGAAAAGAACCCCUGUGAGGGGAGUGAAAUAGAACCUGAAACCGUGUACGUACAAGCAGUAGGAGCCCUUCGAGGGUGACUGCGUACCUUUUGUAUAAUGGGUCAGCGACUUAUAUUCUGUAGCGAGGUUAACCAUUUAGGGGAGCCGUAGCGAAAGCGAGUCUUAACUGGGCGCUUAAGUUGCAGGGUAUAGACCCGAAACCCGGUGAUCUAGCCAUGGGCAGGUUGAAGGUCAGGUAACACUGACUGGAGGACCGAACCCACUAACGUUGAAAAGUUAGGGGAUGACCUGUGGCUAGGAGUGAAAGGCUAAUCAAACCGGGAGAUAGCUGGUUCUCCCCGAAAUCUAUUUAGGUAGAGCCUCGGACGAAUACUUACGGGGGUAGAGCACUGUUAAGGCUAGGGGGUCAUCCCGACUUACCAACCCUUUGCAAACUCCGAAUACCGUAAAGUACUAUCCGGGAGACACACGGUGGGUGCUAACGUCCAUCGUGGAGAGGGAAACAACCCAGACCGUCAGCUAAGGUCCCAAAGUGUAUGUUAAGUGGGAAACGAUGUGGGAAGGCUAAAACAGCUAGGAGGUUGGCUUAGAAGCAGCCAUCCUUUAAAGAAAGCGUAAUAGCUCACUAGUCGAGUCGGCCUGCGCGGAAGAUGUAACGGGGCUAAACAUACCACCGAAGCUACGGCUGCGAACUUAUGUUCGCGGGGUAGGGGAGCGUUCUGUAAGUGGCUGAAGGUGUGCCGGGAGGCAUGCUGGACAUAUCAGAAGUGCGAAUGCUGACAUGAGUAACGAUAAUGCGGGUGAAAAACCCGCACGCCGGAAGACCAAGGGUUCCUAUCCCAUGUUAAUCAGGGUAGGGUGAGUCGACCCCUAAGGCGAGGCUGAAGAGCGUAGUCGAUGGGAAACGGGUUAAUAUUCCCGUACUUGGUAUAAAUGCGAUGGGGGGACGGAGCAGGCUAGGCAAGCAUGGCGUUGGUUGUCCAUGUGAAAGGCUGUAGGCUGGUGACUUAGGAAAAUCCGGGUCGCUAAGGCUGAGAGUCGAGACGAGCUACUACGGUAGUGAAGUUGUUGAUGCCCUACUUCCAGGAAAAGCCUCUAAGCUUCAGUUUAUAUCGAAUCGUACCCUAAACCGACACAGGUGGUCAGGUAGAGAAUACUAAGGCGCUUGAGAGAACUCGGGUGAAGGAACUAGGCAAAAUUGUACCGUAACUUCGGGAGAAGGUACGCUCUUGUUUGUGAAGGACUUGCUCCGUAAGCAAACGAGAGCCGCAGUGACCAGGUGGCUGGGACUGUUUAUUAAAAACACAGCACUGUGCAAAAUCGUAAGAUGACGUAUACGGUGUGACACCUGCCCGGUGCCGGAAGGUUAAUUGAUGGGGUUAGACGUUUGUCGAAGCUCUUGAUCGAAGCCCCGGUAAACGGCGGCCGUAACUAUAACGGUCCUAAGGUAGCGAAAUUCCUUGUCGGGUAAGUUCCGACCUGCACGAAUGGUGUAACCAUGGCCACGCUGUCUCCACCCGAGACUCAGUGAAAUUGAAAUCGCAGUGAAGAUGCUGUGUACCCGCGGCUAGACGGAAAGACCCCGUGAACCUUUACUACAGCUUGGCACUGAACAUUGACCCUACAUGUGUAGGAUAGGUGGGAGGCUUUGAAGCACAGUCGCUAGAUUGUGUGGAGCCGUCCUUGAAAUACCACCCUUGUAGUGUUGAUGUUCUAACUUAGGCCCCUAAUCGGGGUUGAGGACAGUGCCUGGUGGGUAGUUUGACUGGGGCGGUCUCCUCCCAAAGAGUAACGGAGGAGCACGAAGGUUGGCUAAGUACGGUCGGACAUCGUACGGUUAGUGUAAUGGUAGAAAGCCAGCUUAACUGCGAGACAGACACGUCGAGCAGGUACGAAAGUAGGUCAUAGUGAUCCGGGUGGUUCUGAAUGGAAGGGCCAUCGCUCAACGGAUAAAAGGUACUCCGGGGAUAACAGGCUGAUACCGCCCAAGAGUUCAUAUCGACGGCGGUGUUUGGCACCUCGAUGUCGGCUCAUCACAUCCUGGGGCUGAAGUCGGUCCCAAGGGUAUGGCUGUUCGCCAUUUAAAGUGGUACGCGAGCUGGGUUUAGAACGUCGUGAGACAGUUCGGUCCCUAUCUGCCGUGGGCGUUUGAGAAUUGAGAGGGGCUGCUCCUAGUACGAGAGGACCGGAGUGGACGAACCGCUGGUGUUCGGGUUGUUAUGCCAAUAGCAUUGCCCGGUAGCUACGUUCGGAAUCGAUAACCGCUGAAAGCAUCUAAGCGGGAAGCGAGCCUCGAGAUGAGUUCUCACUUUAACUUAGAGUUAACUGAAGGGCCGUUGAAGACUACAACGUUGAUAGGCGAGAUGUGGAAGUGCUGUGAGGCAUUGAGCUAACUCGUACUAAUUACCCGUGAGGCUUAACCAUACAACGCCAAAGUGGUUU
rnacentral:rRNA from 1 species